AGUGGCGAAAGGGCGAGGAAUACAUGGAUAACGUGCCUUUGGCAUGGGGACAGCUGAGGGAAACUUCAGGUAAUACCCAAUGAGACCACAGUGCUUUCGGGCACAGGGGUCAAAGAUGGGGCUCCUUCGGGACCUAUCGGCCAUAGAGCGGUCCAUGUCCUAUCAGCUUGUUGGUGAGGUAAUGGCUCACCAAGGCGACGACGGGUACCGGGACUGAGAGGUUGACCCGGCGCAUCGGGACUGAGACACUGCCCGGACUCCUACGGGAGGCUGCAGUAACGAAUAUUGGUCAAUGGGCGAAAGCCUGAACCAGCGACGCCGCGUGUGGGAGGAAGCCCUUCGGGGUGUAAACCACUGUCAGGGAUUACCAGGCAAUGGAGGCUAAUACCCUCCUGCGUUGAGGCGUCCCAGAGGAAGUCACGGCUAACUUCGUGCCAGCAGCCGCGGUGAUACGAAGGUGGCGAGCGUUGUUCGGAAUCACUGGGCUUAAAGAGCACGUAGGCGGACUGCCAAGCGUCUUGUGAAAUCCCCCGGCUCAACCGGGGAAUUGCUGGGCGAACUGGUAGUCUUGAGGCAAGUAGGGGCAGAUGGAACUCUUGGUGGAGCGGUGGAAUGCGUAGAUAUCAAGAGGAACGCCAGAGGCGAAGGCGAUCUGCUGGGCUUGACCUGACGCUGAGGUGCGAAAGCCAGGGGAGCAAACGGGAUUAGAUACCCCGGUAGUCCUGGCCAUAAACGAUGUCCACUAGAUCGGUGAACUUCUGACAGUGUGCCGGUCGAAACCAAAAGCGUUAAGUGGACCGCCUGGGGAGUACGGUCGCAAGGCUAAAACUCAAAGGAAUUGACGGGGGCUCACACAAGCGGUGGAGCAUGUUGCUUAAUUCGAUGCAACGCGAAGAACCUUAUCCUGGGCUUGACAUGCUUGGAUGCCCAUCUGGAAACAGAGUAGGCUGCCCUUCGGGGUGAAACUUGCACAGGUGCUGCAUGGCUGUCGUCAGCUCGUGUCGUGAGAUGUUGGGUUAAGUCCCGUAACGAGCGAAACCCUUGUCGUUAGUUGCCAGCGCGUAAUGGCGGGGACUCUAGCGAGACUGCCGGUGUUAAACCGGAGGAAGGUGGGGAUGACGUCAAGUCCUCAUGGCCUUUAUGCCCAGGGCUGCAAACGUGCUACAAUGGCGAGGACAAACCGACGCAAAGCCGCGAGGUCGAGCAAAUCGGAGAAACCUUGCCCCAGUU
rnacentral:rRNA from 1 species